rnacentral:rRNA from 1 species
AUUGAACGCUGGCGGCAGGCCUAACGCAUGCAAGUCGAGCGGCAGCGGAAAGUAGCUUGCUACUUUGCCGGCGAGCGGCGGACGGGUGAGUAAUGUCUGGGAAACUGCCUGAUGGAGGGGGAUAACUACUGGAAACGGUAGCUAAUACCGCAUAAUGUCGCAAGACCAAAGAGGGGGACCUUCGGGCCUCUUGCCAUCAGAUGUGCCCAGAUGGGAUUAGCUAGUAGGUGGGGUAACGGCUCACCUAGGCGACGAUCCCUAGCUGGUCUGAGAGGAUGACCAGCCGCACUGGAACUGAGACACGGUCCAGACUCCUACGGGAGGCAGCAGUGGGGAAUAUUGCACAAUGGGCGCAAGCCUGAUGCAGCCAUGCCGCGUGUAUGAAGAAGGCCUUCGGGUUGUAAAGUACUUUCAGCGGGGAGGAAGGUGUUGAGGUUAAUAACCUCAGCAAUUGACGUUACCCGCGGAAGAAGCACCGGCUAACUCCGUGCCAGCCGCCGCCGUAACAC